rnacentral:rRNA from 1 species
AUUGAACGCUGGCGGCAGGCCUAACACAUGCAAGUCGAGCGGACGAAGGGAGCUUGCUCCUGGAUUCAGCGGCGGACGGGUGAGUAAUGCCUAGGAAUCUGCCUGGUCGUGGGGGAUAACGUCCGGAAACGGGCGCUAAUACCGCAUACGUCCUGAGGGUGAAAGUGGGGGAUCUUAGGACCUCACGCUAUUAGCUGAGCCUAGGUCGGAUUAGCUAGUUGGUGAGGUAAAGGCCUACCAAGGCGACGAUCCGUAACUGGUCUGAGAGGAUGAUCAGUCAAACUGGAACUGAGACACGGUCCAGACUCCUACGGGAGGCAGCAGUAGGGAAUAUUGGGCAAUGGGCGAAAGCCUGAUCGAGCCAUGCCGCGUGUGUGAAGAAGGUCUUCGGAUUGUAAAGCACUUUAAGUUGGGAGGAAGAGAAGUAAGUUAAUACCUUGCUAUUUUGACGUUACCAACAGAAUAAGCACCGGCUAACUUCGUG